GAGGCAGCUUUGUGACGACCUUUGGCUAAACUCCAUCGUGAGCGCCUCUGGUCUGAUGCGCCUC
rfam:Caenorhabditis elegans thioredoxin reductase mRNA, complete cds.